CCCGCUGGUAUCGAUGAGGGCGAGUCGCUGGUCACGUGACGCAGAAGAGCAAAGAUGGCGUCCGUGGCAGAACCUCUCACUCUCCAGCAAGAUGUCAAAAGGGCUGUGGAACUAUUGGAUAAGCUGCAAAAAACUGGAGAGGUACCAUCAGCCAAGUUGGCAGCACUACAGCGCGUUCUUCAGUCUGAAUUUCUAACGGCUGUUCGAGAAGUAUAUGAGCAUGUUUAUGAGACUGUAGAUAUCUCGGGCUCACCUGAAAUACGUGCAUCAGCAACAGCAAAAGCAACAGUAGCUGCAUUUGCUGCAAGUGAGGGCCAUGCCCACCCAAGAGUUGUAGAGCUUCCCAAGACUGAUGAAGGAUUGGGGUUUAAUGUGAUGGGAGGCAGAGAACAGAAUUCUCCCAUAUAUAUAUCCCGCAUCAUUCCUGGUGGUGUAGCGGAUCGCCAUGGUGGUCUUAAGAGAGGUGACCAGCUCCUGUCUGUGAAUGGAGUGAGUGUCGAGGGUGAGAACCAUGAACGUGCGGUGGAGUUGCUGAAAGCUGCCAGCGGUUCGGUCAAGUUGGUGGUCCGGUAUACCCCUCGAGUGUUGGAGGAGAUGGAGAUGCGAUUCGACAAACAGCGGGCGUCACGUAGGCGAACUUCCCAAUUACAGUAGUGACUUCCCUAGUGGAGGACUGGCGAGAGCUGGUGUAACUCCGUGCGAGGGAUGGGGAACAAGCUGAGAGCCAGCCAGGUGGAGGACAGUGGAAUUGAAGAUGCCACAACAGGUUGCAGCUCCAGACCAAAGAUGAUCAUUCUUUCCAAUUUGUAAUCUUUAGUCACGAACAUUUUAAGCCGUAUGUCUUGUGCAUCCAGUACCCCCAUACCAGCCACCCCCUACCCCUCUCAGCUGGGUUUCUUGUAAUCCAUUAACAGUCCCUUUAGUCUGUCCCCACGUAGAGAGAAGAAGAUCCUUCUGUGUAAUAUUGAUAUCAAAUCCUGUAUCGUAAAAGCUUUCAGAAUUAGACAUUAUAAUGUAAUCUUCUCCAUCUUUUUAAGGAUUGCGUAUUUUCCAGUUUUGCCCCCCUCCCCCCCCUAGUUUCGGUUGUUUUAGGUAUAUUUGCCGUCUUGCUAUACAGACUGACAUUUGUAUAGAUUUGACUUUUUCAGAGAAAAUUUUAACUUGAUUAUUCCAGAAAUUAGUCGUAAUUUGUCAUUUAAAACUAUAAAUGUAUGUUAAUGUAGUAAAACAUCAUUGACUUUUUUCUGUUCAAGGGUUUGAGAAAACCAAUGUUUCAUGUGAAUGAAUGCAUGAGUGUAAAUUCCCAUUGUUCUUAAAGGUAAGGGCAGCUACAAAAGUAUAUAUGAGUGUAUGCUUGUGUCUGGACAAAUAUUUUUCUCAUUUUCUUUAUACUUUUUUCAUUUUCCUUGGCAUGAAUUGUUUGCUGUAGGUUUAACAUAUCAUUUUUAAAUAACCAUAUUUACAUAUAGAAACUGGAUACUGACCAAUCAAAAUAUGUACAUGUGUCAUAUAUAAUACCACAUAAGUAAUGUUGGUUCAGUAAUGGAGAACGGGAUUGACACGUUAAUUGUGUUCAGCUAGUCUUUAAAGAAUAUAUUUCAUGUAUUUUGAUUGCCAAUCUUAGUUCAUUAUGCAUUUUCAUUUAUUGCAGAUAGAUUGAACUCUUGUUCAAAUUUCAUUUUUCAUGAAUAAACCAAGAUUUCUGAUAUGUAUUGAAAUAAUAUGAAAUGGUAUAGAUGUAUAUCAAAUAUACUUAUAACUAUGAA
rnacentral:misc_RNA from 1 species